rnacentral:rRNA from 1 species
AACGCGAAGAACCUUACCUGGGCUCGAAAUGUACAGGAAUCCGGUGGAAACAUCGGCGUCUCGCAAGAGACCUGUAUAUAGGUGCUGCAUGGCUGUCGUCAGCUCGUGUCGUGAGAUGUUGGGUUAAGUCCCGCAACGAGCGCAACCCUUAUUACCAGUUGCUACCAUUUAGUUGAGCACUCUGGUGAGACCGCCUCGGAUAACGGGGAGGAAGGCGGGGAUGACGUCAAGUCCUCAUGGCCUUUAUGUCCAGGGCUACACACGUGCUACAAUGGCCGGUACAAACCGUCGCAAACCCGCGAGGGGGAGCUAAUCGGAAAAAGCCGGCCUCAGUUCGGAUUGCAGUCUGCAACUCGACUGCAUGAAGCUGGAAUCGCUAGUAAUCGCGGAUCAGAACGCCGCGGUGAAUACGUUCCCGGGCCUUGUACACACCGCUAGUC